rnacentral:rRNA from 1 species
UGGGGAAUAUUGGACAAUGGGCGAAAGCCUGAUCCAGCCAUGCCGCGUGUGUGAAGAAGGGCUUCGGAUUGUAAAGCACUUUAAGUUGGGAGGAAGGGCAGUAAGCGAAUACCUUGCUGUUUUGACGUUACCGACAGAAUAAGCACCGGCUAACUCUGUGCCAGCAGCCGCGGUAAUACAGAGGGUGCGAGCGUUAAUCGGAUUUACUGGGCGUAAAGCGUGCGUAGGCGGCUAAUUGAGUCGGAUGUGAAAUCCCCGAGCUUAACUUGGGAAUUGCAUUUGAUACUGGUUAGCUAGAGGGUGGGAGAGGAUGGUAGAAUUCCAGGUGUAGCGGUGAAAUGCGUAGAGAUCUUGAUGAAUACCGAUGGCGAAGGCAGCCAUCUGGCCUAACACUGACGCUGAGGUACGAAAGCAUGGGGAGCAAACAGG